AUUGCCGGGCUUGCGAAUUCGGUCGGCUGUGAUAGGGUCGAGUGCAGGUCACAAAACCCCGCCUUCGGGCGGGGUUUUGCUUUUUU
rnacentral:misc_RNA from 1 species